AUGUGAAUGGUUUUUACCUUUCAGACUAGAGAACAAAGUACACAGGAGAGACACCUGUGACACAUACAUUAUUUUGGAUACACAAUUCUGGGAAUAUUAUUGUCAACACCAAAAGGCCUAAAUCUACCGAAACAACUACCUGGGUGGGUGAACAAACGUGGAGUAACUGGGCUCUGAGGAUAUAAUGGAUAUUGUUUGCCAAAUGGAUUGUACCUGAAGUCGGAGAGAAGGUUGUCAACGGAACUACCAGCCAGGACUCCAUUUUGGAGAAAAGGCAGCUGAUCACCAUGGAGCCCCCCGGAGGACUCCCAGUGCCCGUUGAUGUUCUGGGAGAGAAUGAAGCGCUGCAGCAGUUCUUUGACGGAUGCCAGGAUAUGAGUGGGGUCCUGGAGAGUGCUGU